rnacentral:rRNA from 1 species
AUUGAACGCUGGCGGCAUGCCUUACACAUGCAAGUCGAACGGCAGCGCGGGAGCAAUCCUGGCGGCGAGUGGCGAACGGGUGAGUAAUAUAUCGGAACGUGCCCUAGAGUGGGGGAUAACUAGUCGAAAGAUUAGCUAAUACCGCAUACGAUCUACGGAUGAAAGUGGGGGAUCGCAAGACCUCAUGCUCGUGGAGCGGCCGAUAUCUGAUUAGCUAGUUGGUAGGGUAAAAGCCUACCAAGGCCACGAUCAGUAGCUGGUCUGAGAGGACGACCAGCCACACUGGGACUGAGACACGGCCCAGACUCCUACGGGAGGCAGCAGUGGGGAAUUUUGGACAAUGGGGGAAACCCUGAUCCAGCAAUGCCGCGUGUGUGAAGAAGGCCUUCGGGUUGUAAACCGCUUUUGUCAGGGAAGAAACGGUUUGGGCUAAUACCCCGAACUAAUGACGGUACCUGAAGAAUAAGCACCGGCUAACUACGUGCCAGCAGCCGCCGCCG